CAUGUCUCAGUAUAAGCUUUUGAUUUGUGAAACUGCAAAUGGCUCAUUAAAACCGUUAUAAUGCAUUUGACAAUUGCUCCUACAUGGAUAUCUGUGGAAAUUCUAUAGUUAAUACAUGCACUGAAAACCUAUCUUGGGGGAAAGGUUGUGGUCGUUGGUUGCAGAACCAAUUCAAGCAUUGCUUGUAUAUUUGAUUGAAUCGCAAUGACAAAAUGAAUUACAUGGCAACAGCUGGUAAUAAUUCAUGCCAGUUUCUGACCUAUCAGCUUUCGACGGUAAGGUAUUGGCUUACCGUGGCAAUGACAGGUGACGGAGGAUUAGGGUUUGAUUCCGGAGAGGGAGCUUGAGAAAUGGCUACCACAUCUAAGGAAGGCAGCAGGCGCGCAAAUUACCCAAUCCUGGCACAGGGAGGUAGUGACAAGAAAUAACAAUACAAGGCAUCCAUGUCUUGUACUUGGAAUGAUUGGACAUCAAACCUUUCUAUAAGUAUCAAUUGGAGGGCAAGUCUGGUGCCAGCAGCCGCGGUAAUUCCAGCUCCAAUAGCGUAUAUUAAAGUUGUUGCGGUUAAAAAGCUCGUAGUUGGAUUUCUGCUGAGGAUGGCUGGUCCGCCCUCUGGGUGAGUAUUUGGCACAGCCUGAGCAUUUAUCUUGAAAGCACAACUGCACUUGACUGUGUGGU
rnacentral:rRNA from 1 species